rnacentral:tRNA from 1 species
GCCUGGUUAGCUCAGUCGGUAGAGAAUCAGACUUUUAAUCUGAGGGUCAAGGGUUCGAGUCCCUUAUCGGGCG